rnacentral:rRNA from 1 species
UACGGGGGGUGCAAGCGUUAAUCGGAAUUACUGGGCGUAAAGGGUGCGUAGGUGGUUAAUUAAGUUAUCUGUGAAAUCCCUGGGCUCAACCUGGGCAGGUCAGAUAAUACUGGUUAACUCGAGUAUGGGAGAGGGUAGUGGAAUUUCCGGUGUAGCGGUGAAAUGCGUAGAGAUCGGAAGGAACACCAGUGGCGAAGGCGGCUACCUGGCCUAAUACUGACACUGAGGCACGAAAGCGUGGGGAGCAAACAGG